rnacentral:rRNA from 1 species
UACGUAGGGGGCGAGCGUUAUCCGGAAUUACUGGGCGUAAAGCGCGUGUAGGCGGGUCUUUAAGUCAGGGGUGAAAUGCCAAGGCUCAACCUUGGAACUGCCUUUGAUACUGGAGACCUUGAGUCCGGGAGAGGUGAGUGGAAUUGCGAGUGUAGAGGUGAAAUUCGUAGAUAUUCGCAAGAACACCAGUGGCGAAGGCGGCUCACUGGCCCGGAACUGACGCUGAGAUGCGAAAGCGUGGGGAGCAAACAGG